AUACGUAGGGGGCGAGCGUUGUCCGGAAUCAUUGGGCGUAAAGCGCGUGUAGGCGGCUCGGUAAGUCUGCUGUGAAAGUCCAGGGCUCAACCCUGGAACGCCGGUGGAUACUGCCGAGCUCGAGUCCGGAAGAGGCGAGUGGAAUUCCUGGUGUAGCGGUGAAAUGCGCAGAUAUCAGGAGGAACACCGAUGGCGAAGGCAGCUCGCUGGGACGUGACUGACGCUGAGACGCAAAAGCGUGGGGAGCAAACAGGAUUAGAUACCCUGGUAGUCCAUGCCGUAAACGAUGGGCACUAGGUGUGGGGGGUGUCGACUCCCUCCGUGCCGACGCUAACGCAUUAAGUGCCCCGCCUGGGGAGUACGGCCGCAAGGCUAAA
rnacentral:rRNA from 1 species